GGUAAAACCCGGAUGAACCACCGGUUUCCCAUGGAACCGUUGGCCCAAAUACAAAAGAAACCGCCCGGUCCAUAUAUAUUAAAUCCUGAGUCCCCCAAAUUCAGAAUUCUCCUUCAUAUCACGGCAUGAAAUCGGAGAGCCCUAAACAAUGCAGCCGGCAAUCGUCCUUCGCAACCAGCAAGUUCACUCCCAAAAAUCCAAAAGCUUCAAAUUUCAAGUUGUUAUUAGAUGGAAGAAGAAGAUGUAAGUUUAAAUUUUGUCAUUUUCUUUGUAAAUUUCAGUUUUCUGUCCUCAAAUUAUGUGCAAAUAUAUAUAUCUCCAGUUUGGUAUUUUUGGCAGAUUUCUACUUGAAUUUUGAUGCCCUACCUGUCUGUAUGUUGCAGUUGUAUACUGUACUGGUUCAAUGCCCUACCUGUACGUGACUGUAUUGGUGUUUCUUUUGAAGUAUUUGAUAGACUGUAAUUGCAAUUAGGGUCUGAUUUAACACAUGGAAAGUCAGCAGAUUGAAAGAAAUAAAUUCUAACAUGUUAGUUGUAAUCUGUUUACCAAAGCUAUUUACUUAUUUGUAAGCCGCCGUUGGUUCCUUUUUAUUUAGUCCGAUCAACAAUUUUAGUUAUUCAUGAACUUGUUUACUUUACAUAAGCAAUGUAGUAAUGAAACAUUAGAAGCUAAUUAUUUGUUUAAACCAUUUUGGACUUGAAUUUCACAUGUUCUUUAUUUACGUUAACUUUUAAUUGAUGCUUUUACUUUUGCAAGA
rnacentral:lncRNA from 1 species